rnacentral:rRNA from 1 species
GGGCGUAGCAUACGUCAGUGGCAGACGGGUGAGUAACGCGUGGGACGUACUUUUGGUUCGGAACAACUGAGGGAAACUUCAGCUAAUACCGGAUAAGCCCUUACGGGGAAAGAUUAUCGCCGAAAGAUCGGCCCGCGUCUGAUUAGCUAGUUGGUGGGGUAAUGGCUCACCAAGGCGACGAUCAGUAGCUGGUCUGAGAGGAUGAUCAGCCACAUUGGGACUGAGACACGGCCCAAACUCCUACGGGAGGCAGCAGUGGGGAAUAUUGGACAAUGGGGGCAACCCUGAUCCAGCCAUG